rnacentral:rRNA from 1 species
GACGAACGCUGGCGGCGUGCUUAACACAUGCAAGUCGAACGGAAAGGCCCUGCUUUUGUGGGGUUCUCGAUUGGCGAACGGGUGAGUAACACGUGAGUAACCUGCCCUUGACUUUGUGAUAACUUCAGGAAACUGGGGCUAAUACCGGGUAGGAGCUCCUGCUGCAUAGUGUGGGAUGGUAAGUGUCGGCGGUUGGGGAUGUAAUCGCGGCUUAUCAGCUUGUUGGUGGGGUAGUGGCUUACCAGGGCUUUGACGGAUAGCCGGCAUGAGAGGGUUACCGGCCACAUUGGGACUGAGAUACGGAGCAGAAUACUACGGGACGCAGCAGUGGAGAAUAUUGCACAAUGGGCGGAAGCCUGAUGAAGAAACGCCGCGUGCGGGAUGACGGCCUUCGGGUUGUAAACCGAUUUCGAAUGUGACGAAGAGUGAGUGACGGUAAUGGGUAAAGAAGCAACGGCUAACUACGUG